UACGUAGGGUGCGAGCGUUUGUCCGGAAUUACUGGGCGUAAAGAGCUCGUAGGCGGUGUGUCGCGUCGGCCGUGAAAACCUGCAGCUUAACUGUGGGCUUGCGGUCGAUACGGGCAUCACUGGAGUUCGGCAGGGGAGACUGGAAUUCCUGGUGUAGCGGUGAAAUGCGCAGAUAUCAGGAGGAACACCGGUGGCGAAGGCGGGUCUCUGGGCCGAUACUGACGUGAGGAGCGAAAGCAUGGGGAGCGAACAGG
rnacentral:rRNA from 1 species